rnacentral:pre_miRNA from 1 species
GAUUUUUUAUCAUGCCGCCGCAGGCGAUCAUGCCUAUCCUGUUAUAUAUUCAACUAUUAGAUUUAGAACAGGAUAAGCAUGAUCGCCUUCGGCGGCAUGAUAA